UGAUUCAUCAGUAGGCUACAUGUUAUUGUGAAGAAUAAUACAACAACAACAACAACAAAAAAUCUAAAUUUUCCUUUCGACUGACCUCACCUUGACUGUGCUGGCAAGUAGCCUAAUGGUUUGAAAAGCAAGUGGUAGCAUUGAGAUAUCUCCUCUAACAUAUUCACGUCAAUCAUAAAGAAUAAGUAAGCUGAUUGAUCAUGUCAACUCCUUUGUACAGAUUGUCUUUGAAGCUCAAGACUCUUUUUAGAACAUUCUAAAAUUGAUGAAUUACAUUUUCAGUUAGACUUUUUAUUUAAUUUAUUUUUCUUGUAAUGAAAAAUAUUUAAAUUUUGUUUUUAAAUAUUAUAUUAUUAGCAUAAUAUAUUUAUAUAAAUAUUUUCUUAUAAAUAAUUAUUAUAAUGUUAAAUACAAGCAUUUUCAGACCCUAAUGCAAAAUGAUACAUUUGCAAUGUUCAGCACAGUGUGGCAUUAAAUGAAACGAUAUAAAUUUGUUAAGAAAUAUUGGGCAAAUUUGAUUUUAAGGCUCUUCUUUGCUCUGCAGGUACAAGUCUACAGUCACUAAGAGGCGCUCGUGGUUCCUCAUCACUGUGCGCUGGAUACUGGCAUCUGUACUGGGCUUCUUACCCCUGUUUGGAUGGUAAAACCAUGACACACCGACACGUUACAACUCCACCUCCAUACACUCUCAUUGCAGUGCAUUCUGGGAUUGCUUUACUCAUGAAGGACACCAGAUUCUGGCCAAAACAAGUGUCUCUAGAUUUGUGAGUUUGACAGAUGGGGCAGUGGGAAAAUCCGCUUAGCAACUUUCUGCUGAUGGAGGUUCAUUGAGUAAAGCUCCACACUUUCUCAUUAAAUCACCGCAGUGAGGCCUCGCGUGCUUCUGUUCAACUUUAACGGAUACAGUUUCAAGAUAAAGGACAUGUCUGCUGAAAAGAAUAUUGCAGAAGCCCAAAAAGAAGAAGCCUGAGUCGACUCCAGCAGAGACCAACGGGAUCGAAGCCAAAUCCAAAAAGACCAAGAGCAAGAAGAGCGGCGAUCUGUCGGCCGAGAGCGACCUGGUCACUCAGAGUACGGCAGAGAGCUCAUGUCCUGAUGUUACAUCACAGCGCUUCUGUCAGUCUGUUUACACAACUCUCACAAACCUCCCUCACAGAUGGAGAGAAGGUGAAGAAGAAGAAACUGGAGAAGGACAAAGAAUCAACAGAAAAGGAGAAGGAAAUCAAAAAGAAAGCGAAAAGCGCUCCAAAGAAGAAGAAGAGUAAGUGACCCAGUGUUUUUUUAGUGUCAUUUGAUUUGUGACCCUGAAGCACAAAAGCAGUCUUAAGUCUCUGGGGUAUAUUUGUAGCAAUAGCCAAAAAUACAUUGUAUGGGUCAAAAUUGUAGAUUUUUCUUUCAUGCCAAAAAUCAUUAGGACAUUAAGUAAAGAUCAUGUUCAAUGAAGAUAUUUUGUAAAUUUCCUACCGUAAAUACAUCAAAACUUAAUUUUUGAUUAGUAAUAUACAUUGCUAAGAACAACUUUAUUCGGACAACUUUAAAGGCGAUUUUCUCAUUAUUUACAUUUUCAAAUAGUUAUCAAAUCAUACAUCAAUGGAAAGAUGAUUUACUCAGCUUUCAGAUAAUGUAUAAAUCUCUCUCUUUUUUUUUAAUUGACCCUUAUGACUGGUUUUGUGGUCUAGGGUCACAUUUAUAUUAUUUAUAUUGUUAUAUUAAAUGAUGUUUGUUAUUUAUUUAUAUUAUAUAUUAUUAGAUUUUGUUUUUAUAUUUUUAGUUUUCAUUAUAACUUUAGCUUAUGUUUUAAAAAAUAAUAAUAAUCAUAAAUAAAUAAUCAUUUAAAAAUUUGAAAUGUCUCUUCAAAAACUGAUGAGAAAAUAAUAAACACAAAUGAAACAAUAACUGACAUACAGUAAGACUUUAUAGAGCUUUAAAAUGUGCAUGUAUAGCAGCUCAGAUCUCGGUAGAAUUUGAUGAGAAAUGUUUGAGAUCUUUACAUUUUAAUUGCAGAUUUUCUUAUUUUGAGCUCUGUUUGAAACAUUUGUGAGAUCUUUUCAAGACCUCUAGAGAACUGGUUGGACAUAACUGAAGUCCUUUUCUAAUGAGAAAAAGUCUCAGUUUGCUCUUCAUUUCGUCUUGUUGCUGUUUGAAAGAGAAACAACUGUGAUACUAAAGACGUGACAUUUGACAAGCAAACUGAACCAGAUUUUCUGGACCUGAGCACUUCAAUGUGUUUAUUGCAAAACAGGUUCUACAGAAGAUGAUGAUGAAGAGGAUGAUGAAGAGACCGCUCCACAGAAGAAGACGAAGAAAAAAACUUCAAAAGAAAGUUCUGAUGGAAAGGAAAAAGAUAAGAAGUCCAAAUCAAAAGGUGUCCUCUGUUCAAAGGAACUUUAAACUACGAAGCACUUUAAACUUUCUAUUCUGAGAUAUAAUGUUAGUUUAGUUAGUUUCAACAAUACCUGCUAACUUGACUUAUUUAUGCC
rnacentral:lncRNA from 1 species